rnacentral:tRNA from 2 species
GCCCUUAUCGUCUAGAGGCCUAGGACGCUUCCUUUUCACGGAAGAAACAGGGAUUCGAAUUCCCUUAAGGGUA